CCUACGGGUGGCUGCAGUGAGGAAUAUUUGUCAAUGGGCUUACGCCUGAACCAGCCAAGUCGCGUGAGGGAAGACUGCCCUAUGGGUUGUAAACCUCUUUUGUCAGGGAGCAACGCCGGCUACGUGUAGCCGGACUGAGAGUACCUGAAGAAAAAGCAUCGGCUAACUCGGGACCAGCCGCCGCGGUAAUACGGAGGAUGCGAGCAUUAUCCGAAUUUAUUGGGUUUAAUGGGUGCGUAGGCGGAAUGCCUAGUCAGCGGUAAAAUCGCGGGGCAAAACCUCGGUCCCCCGGUGAAACUGGCGAGCUUGAGUGGGCGAGAAGUAUGCGGAAGGCGUGGUGUAGCGGUGAAAUGCAUAGAUAUC
rnacentral:rRNA from 1 species